UACGUAGGUGGCAAGCGUUGUCCGGAUUUACUGGGCGUAAAGAGCGCGCAGGCGGUCGUUCAAGUCGCGUGUGAAAGCCCCCGGCUCAACUGGGGAGGGUCACGCGAUACUGAUCGACUCGAAGGCAGGAGAGGGUAGUGGAAUUCCCGGUGUAGUGGUGAAAUGCGUAGAUAUCGGGAGGAAUACCAGUGGCGAAGGCGGCUCUGGCUGUUCUUGACUGCUGAGGCG
rnacentral:rRNA from 1 species